rnacentral:rRNA from 1 species
GAAAAGAAACUAACAAGGAUUCCCCUAGUAGCGGCGAGCGAAGCGGGAAGAGCCCGGGAUGAAAAUCUCUUCGGAGAGUUGUAGUCUGAGCUCCCUUGGGCGGUCAGUGUGGGUAAAUCGUCUGGGAUGACGUGCCAAGGAGGGUGAGAGCCCCGUCCACCCCACACAGGACCCGCCCGCACGAGGGCGCUUCAACCGAGUCGGGUAGCUUGGGAAUGCUGCUCCAAUUGGUGGUAAAUCUCAUCAAAGGCUAAAUAACGGUGGGAGACCGAUAGCGAACAAGUACCGUGAGGGAAAGAUGGAAAGAACUUUGAAAAGAGAGUGAAAAGCGCUUGAAACCGUCACGGGGGAAGCGGAUUGCGUGAGUGAUGGCGUGCACUGUUCAGCUCAAAGUGUGGAGUGUAUUCUGUGCGCGCCGGGCGUGUGUGGCUGGGGUGCGUGCGAAUUUGGCACGCGUUCCUGGUGAGGGCUCCCUGCCAGUCAGGUGAGGACACACGCGAAAUGACGCAAUACGACCCGUCUUGAAACACGGACCAAGGAGUCUAGCACGGCUGCGAGUCGAAGGGUGUGAAAACCCAGAGGGCGCAGUGAAAGCGAAAGAAAGCAAAUUGGGGAGGCGUUGCGGUUCUACCAAAAUGUCCUACCUCGAGCACCUGUGCUGGGACCCGAAAGAUGGUGAACUAUGCCGGAGUAGGGCAAAGCCAGAGGAAACUCUGGUGGAGGCUCGUAGCGAUGCUGACGUGCAAAUCGCUCGUCGAACUUGGGUAUAGGGGCGAAAGACUAAUCGAACCAUCUAGUAGCUGGUUCCCUCCGAAGUUUCUCUCAGGAUAGCGGGCCGACGACCUGUUGUUUUGUGCGGUAAAGCGAAUGAUUAGUGCAUUUGGGGGCCGAAGGCCUCCAGGCGAUUCUCAAACUUUAAAUGCGCAAGGGGGCGGCUGCUUAAUUGAGCCUGCUCUUUGAAAAACGUCGGCCCUGUGGGCCACUUUUGGUAAGCAGAACUGGCGAUAAGGGAUGAACCUUAAGCGCGGUUAAGGCGCCGCAUUGCCCGCUUAUAGACCCCACAAAAGGUGUUGAUUCAUCCAGACAGCAGGACGGUGGCCAUGGAAGUCGGAAUCCGCUAAGGAGUGUGUAACAACUCACCUGCCGAAUGAAUUAGCCCUGAAAAUGGAUGGCGCUGAAGCGGGCAGCCGACACCGCGCCGUUCGGGCGAGACGAUGCCCGGAUGAGUAGGAGGGCGUGGCGGUCAGUGACGCAGGCGUGGGUGCAGACCCCGCUGAAACGGCCGCUAGUGCAGAUCUUGGUGGUAGUAGCAAAUAUUCAAGCGAGAUCCUUGAAGGGCGAAGCGGGGAAGGGUUCCACGCGAACAUUGAUUGGGCGUGGGUGAGUC